UGACAUUUGUAUUACUGGCCAACGAAUCAGGAACAGGUCCCACAGGUGUAGUUUCAACCUUUGCGCACUCUUCUGCUUUUCCAGAUCCCAAAGGCACAGGUGUAGUUUCACCCUUGGAGCAUUCUUCUGCAUUUCCAGAUCCCAAAGGCACAGGUACAGUUUCAUCCUUGGAGCACUCUUCUACUUUUCCGGAUCCCGAGGGCACAUGUGUAGUUUCAACCUUGGGGCACUCUUCUGCUUUUCCAGAUCCCAAAGGCACAGGACAAAGAACCAAUGGAGAGGCUUCCACCACUCUCUUUGGCCGCCCACGGCCCCUUUUAGAUGGAGGUGUAGCCUCUUUAUUUGGUGUAGC
rnacentral:lncRNA from 1 species